GUAGGGAAUAUUGCGCAAUGGACGAAAGUCUGACGCAGCGACGCCGCAUGAGUGAUGAAGGCCUUAGGGUCGUAAAGCUCUGUUGAAUGGGAAGAAAAAAAUGACGGUACCAUUCGAGGAAGGACCGGCUAACUUCGUGCCAGCAGCCGCGGUAAUACGAGGGGUCCUAGCGUUGUUCGGAAUCAUUGGGCGUAAAGGGUGUGUAGGUGGCCAUGUAAGUCAGGUGUGAAAGCCCCGGGCUCAACCCGGGAAGUGCACUUGAUACUGCGUGGCUUGAGUACCGAAGAGGGUAGUGGAAUUCCAGGUGUAGUGGUGAAAUACGUAGAUAUCUGGAGGAACACCGGUGGCGAAGGCGGCUACCUGGUCGAGUACUGACACUGAGACACGAAAGCAUGGGGAUCAAACAGGAUUAGAAACCCUAGUAGUCC
rnacentral:rRNA from 1 species